rnacentral:rRNA from 1 species
AGUGAACGCUGGCGGCGUGCUUAACACAUGCAAGUCGAACGAGAACGGAAUAUAGCUUGCUAUAUUUGUCAGCUAAGUGGCGCACGGGUGAGUAAUGUAUAGAUAACCUGCCCUUAAGAAAGGAAUAACAGUUGGAAACGACUGCUAAUGCCCUAUAUGCCUUUAAUACAUAAGUAUGCAAGGGAAACGCUUUAGUGCUUAAGGAUGGGUCUGUAUGGUAUCAGCUCGUUGGUGAGGUAAUGGCUCACCAAGGCUAUGACGCCUAACUGGUUUGAGAGGAUGAUCAGUCACACUGGAACUGAGACACGGUCCAGACUCCUACGGGAGGCAGCAGUGGGGAAUAUUGCACAAUGGACGAAAGUCUGAUGCAGCAACGCCGCGUGGAGGAUGACACAUUUCGGUGCGUAAACUCCUUUUAUAUAGGAAGAUAAUGACGGUACUAUAUGAAUAAGCACCAGCUAACUCCGUGCCAGCAGCCGCAGUAA